GACGAACGCUGGCGGCGUGCCUAAUACAGGCAAGUCGAGCGAAUCGAUGGGAGCUUGCUCCCUGAGAUUAGCGGCGGACGGGUGAGUAACACGUGGGUAACCUGCCUGUAAGACUGGGAUAACUUCGGGAAACCGGAGCAAAUACCGGAUACUUUCUUUUCUCGCAUGAGGGAAGAUGGGAAGAUGGUUCUGCUAUCACUUACAGAUGGACCCGCGGCGCAUUAGCUAGUUGGUGAGGUAACGGCUCACCAAGGCGACGAUGCGUAGCCGACCUGGGAGGGUGAUCGGCCACACUGGGACUGAGACACGGCCCAGACUCCUACGGGAGGCAGCAGUAGGGAAUCUUCCGCAAUGGACGAAAGUCUGACGGAGCAACGCCGCGUGAGCGAAGAAGGCCUUCGGGUCGUAAAGCUCUGUUGUUAGGGAAGAACAAGUACGAGAGUAACUGCUCGUACCUUGACGGUACCUAACCAGAAAGCCACGGCUAACUACGUGCCAGCAGCCGCAGUAAAAC
rnacentral:rRNA from 1 species